GACGAACGCUGGCGGCGUGCUUAACACAUGCAAGUCGAACGGAAAGGCCCUGCUUUUGUGGGGUGCUCGAGUGGCGAACGGGUGAGUAACACGUGAGUAACCUGCCCUUGACUUUGGGAUAACUUCAGGAAACUGGGGCUAAUACCGGAUAGGAGCUCCUGCUGCAUGGUGGGGGUUGGAAAGUUUCGGCGGUUGGGGAUGGACUCGCGGCUUAUCAGCUUGUUGGUGGGGUAGUGGCUUACCAAGGCUUUGACGGGUAGCCGGCCUGAGAGGGUGACCGGCCACAUUGGGACUAAGAUACGGCCCAGACUCCUACGGGAGGCAGCAGUGGGGAAUAUUGCACAAUGGGCGGAAGCCUGAUGAAGCAACGCCGCGUGCGGGAUGACGGCCUUCGGGUUGUAAACCGCUUUCGCCUGUGACGAAGCGUGAGUGACGGUAAUGGGUAAAGAAGCACCGGCUAACUACGUG
rnacentral:rRNA from 1 species